rnacentral:rRNA from 1 species
ACUCGAGUGGCGAACGGGUGAGUAACACGUGGGUGAUCUGCCCUGCACUUCGGGAUAAGCCUGGGAAACUGGGGCUAAUACCGGAUAGGAGCUCCUGCUGCAUGGUGGGGGUUGGAAAGUUUCGGCGGUUGGGGAUGGACUCGCGGCUUAUCAGCUUGUUGGUGGGGUAGUGGCUUACCAAGGCUUUGACGGGUAGCCGGCCUGAGAGGGUGACGGCCACAUUGGGACUGAGAUACGGCCCAG